rnacentral:lncRNA from 1 species
GAUGGAUGAACCAAGACUGUGAAGAAUUUGAGGAGGUUAAUGAAGUAGCUGUAGUCAAUAUGGAACCUAUAUGAGAGCCUCCAGUUGAACCAUUGCCUAACCCAUCAGUGGAGGAAGCACCCAAGUUAGAACUCAAAUCACUCCCCAACCACUUGAAAUAUACCUAUCUAGGUCUAUCGAGAACUCUACCGGUAAUCAUUUCAGCAGACCUAGACCCCAUACA